CCCUUAGAUGCUCUGGGCCGCACGCGCGCUACACUGGUCGAUGCAACGAGUUUCUCUCCUUGGCCGACAGGCCUGGGCAAUCUUUGAACAUCGAUCGUGAUCGGGAUAGAUUCUUGUAAUUUUUGAUCUUAAACGAGGAAUUCCUAGUAAACGCAAGUCAUCAGCUUGCAUUGAUUACGUCCCUGCCCUUUGUACACACCGCCCGUCGCACCUACCGAUUGAAUGGUCCGGUGAAAUCUCCGGACUGGCGUGAGUCGGAGCAAUCUGACAAACACCGGAAAGUUGAUUAAACCUUACCAUUUAGAGGAAGGUGAAGUCGUAACA
rnacentral:rRNA from 1 species